GAUGAUAAUAAGUACCAAAAUGUUUGCUGUGCAGGGGAGAUGGCACCGUCAUCCAUGCAGCCAUGCUCAUCUUUUGACCGGAGCUUGGCUGCCGGAACCAUUUCUCUUGCAUAGAAAACCUUGUGUGCUGCGUACCAUAGCAAGCCUUCAAGAGAAGAACAAAGUUUUUUUCAGCUGAGAUAGCAGAUGAUUGUGGUAGUGGUAGGAGGAGCUUCCGUCAAGUGGGGUUUGCAUGAGGGAAAAUUUUCUAAUGUUAAUAUAUUUGUGUUUAUGUAUAUGUAACGUUUUUCUUCUCAUGCACAUUUUCUAAUGAUAUUAUUUUCAUAUGGUUUAUUAAACACCUUUUAUUUGCUAAUUUUAGGACAUGUAGGUUGAUGCUCUUUUUAAUUGAUGUUUUAUUCCGACUUAAUUAUAGAGUUUUAUAUAUAAUUUUGAGUUUAAGUAAACUAAAGCUUCCUUUUCCAGUGUGUGUUCUCCUCAAAGGGUAUCCGUCUGAAGAGGGUACUCUUUUGAAGUUAUAAGAGAGGGAGCUCGACGGCUAACAGUGGCAUCAACAAAAGAGAAAGUGUUGUCCGCAUGCGAGGUUGUUGCAGCUCAAGAGGCCACAAAAUCCGAGGCAACUACUAUGACGGAAGCAGAAGAAACAACGAGAUGGAAUGAUGGACUGACCCAAAAUUGUUCAAAGGAAACUUUCUUACGAGAUGAUAAGAAAAAUGAGAAACAGAAGAAAGAGAAAGAGAAGAAUAAGAAAAAGAACAAGAAGGGAAAGAAAGAGGGGAGGUUAAGAAAGAGAAUGUGGGAGCGUAUGAGGGUGCAAUAUAAUGAGUUAAUUCACUGUACAUGUGUCAGGGUCAAUUUCCACCAAUUUAGGUGAAAAAAAAAGAUUUAUCCAUUCAAGUAUAGAGAAAGAGUAUCGAACACUACACACUGUCUGCAAUUUGCACUGCUAAUUUUACCGAGUGCUUGGGAGGGUGACAAACCACUAUCUCAGAUGCAAUGCCGGGUUGCUAUUUCAUGAAGGUUAAAAUGUUAUUUACCAAUAACCCAUUUCUAUACCGUGGUUGGGAAUUAUACUGCUAUUGCACACGUCAUUGUAUAGACAAAUAAUACCGUACUUGCCAGCCAUUUCUAU